AUUGAACGCUGGCGGCAGGCCUACCACAUGCAAGUCGAACGAGUGGCGGCCGGGUGAGUAAUGUCUGGGAACCUGCCUGAUGGAGGGGGAUAACUACUGGAAACGGUAGCUAAUACUGCAUACCAUCAGUUCUUCCCAGAUGGGAUUAGCUUGUUGCUGGGGUAACGGCUCACAAAGGCGACGAUCCCUAGCUGGUAUGAGAGGAUGACCAGCAACAGUGGAAGUGAGACACGGUCCAGACGCAUACGGGAGGCAGCAGUGGGGAAGAUGGCAAAAUGGGCGAAAGCAUGAUGCAGCCAUGCCGCGUGUAUGAAGAAGGCCUUCGGGUUGUAAAGUACUUUCGGCGGAGAGGCGUUACCCUAAGAAGAAGCACCGGCUAACUCCGUGCCAGCAGCCGCGGUAAUUC
rnacentral:rRNA from 1 species